CCUACGGGAGGCAGCAGUGGGGAAUAUUGGACAAUGGGCGCAAGCCUGAUCCAGCCAUGCCGCGUGAGUGAUGAAGGCCUUAGGGUUGUAAAGCUCUUUUGUACGGGAAGAUAAUGACGGUACCGUAAGAAUAAGCCCCGGCUAACUUCGUGCCAGCAGCCGCGGUAAUACGAAGGGGGCUAGCGUUGCUCGGAAUCACUGGGCGUAAAGGGUGCGUAGGCGGGUUUUUAAGUCAGAGGUGAAAUCCUGGAGCUCAACUCCAGAACUGCCUUUGAUACUGAAAGUCUUGAGUAUGGGAGAGGUGAGUGGAACUGCGAGUGUAGAGGUGAAAUUCGUAGAUAUUCGCAAGAACACCAGUGGCGAAGGCGGCUCACUGGCCCAUUACUGACGCUGAGGCACGAAAGCGUGGGGAGCAAACAGGAUUAGAUACCCUGGUAGUCCACGCCGUAAACGAUGAUGCAGCGUAGUGGUUACGUCACUAGUGGCGCAGCUACGUACUUAACGUACAUCCGUCCGUCGGGUAGGUACGGUCGCGAAGAAGUUAAACGUUAAAGUAAGUAAGUAGUACGUUGNGUAGUUAGUUCGACGACGACGACGACGGAGGAGGAG
rnacentral:rRNA from 1 species